AAAGGUAAGCUACUAAGAGCGAAUGGUGGAUGCCUUGACUGGUAAAGGCGAUGAAGGACGUACUAGACUGCGAUAAGCUACGGGGAGCUGUCAAGAAGCUUUGAUCCGUAGAUUUCCGAAUGGGGCAACCCAAUGUAUAGAGAUAUACAUUACCUAUAUAGGAGCGAACGAGGGGAAUUGAAACAUCUUAGUACCCUCAGGAAAAGAAAUCAAUAGAGAUUGCGUCAGUAGCGGCGAGCGAAAGCGCAAGAGGGCAAACCCAGUGCUUGCACUGGGGGUUGUAGGACUGCAAUGUGCAAGAGGUGAGUUUAGCAGAACAUUCUGGAAAGUAUAGCCAUAGAGGGUGAUAGUCCCGUAUGCGAAAAACAAACCUUAGCUAGCAGUAUCCUGAGUAGGGCGGGACACGAGAAAUCCUGUCUGAAGCUGGGUCGACCACGAUCCAACCCUAAAUACU
rnacentral:rRNA from 1 species